UACAGAGGGGGCAAGCGUUGUUCGGAUUUACUGGGCGUAAAGGGCGCGUAGGCGGCGUGACAAGUCACUUGUGAAAUCUCCGGGCUUAACUCGGAACGGUCAAGUGAUACUGUCGUGCUAGAGUACAGAAGGGGCAACUGGAAUUCUCGGUGUAGCGGUGAAAUGCGUAGAUAUCGAGAGGAACACCUGCGGCGAAGGCGGGUUGCUGGGCUGAUACUGACGCUGAGGCGCGAAAGCUAGGGGAGCGAACGGG
rnacentral:rRNA from 1 species